rnacentral:rRNA from 1 species
CCUAACACAUGCAAGUCGUAACGAGAAAGUCGGCUUCGGCUGAUGAGUAAAGUGGCGCACGGGUGAGUAACGCGUGGAUAAUCUGCCCUUUAGUGUGGAAUAACGUACCGAAAGGUGCGCUAAUACCGCAUAAUACUGAGUGACUACUGUUGCUCAGUCAAAGAAGGCCUCUGUUUACAAGCUUUUGCUGAAGGAUGAGUCCGCGUACCAUUAGCUAGUUGGUCGGGUAAUGGCCUACCAAGGCGACGAUGGUUAGCUGGUCUGAGAGGAUGAUCAGCCACACUGGAACUGAGACACGGUCCAGACUCCUACGGGAGGCAGCAGUGAGGAAUAUUGCGCAAUGGGGGCAACCCUGACGCAGCAACGCCGCGUGAGUGAGGAAGGUUUUCGGACCGUAAAGCUCUGUCGAGCGGGAAGAAAUGCAUGGUGGCUAAUAUCCAUCAUGCUUGACGGUACCGCUAAAGGAAGCACCGGCUAACUCCGUG